GGAGGGGGGGGCAGCCCUUAAAGGGACAGGCGGCUCCGGCACGUGCCGGCGGACGCGCAGCCCCGGCCGCACCGGCCCCGGGAGCGGCGGCUGCGGGGAGCGCUGGGGAGAGCCGUGAGCUCCCCCCGGGCCUUGGGGCCCGCCAGGCCGAGCCAGGCUGCAGGGCGGAAGGCCCGUAACCGGGCGGGGAGUGCCUCCCGGGAGGCGGCUGCACGCUCCGAGCAGGGCUGCCCUGCGGGAGAGGACGAGGGCUCAGCAGCGCCUUAUCCAAUCGCUUUGCCACCGGCUUAGCGUUGCGGAUGAUGGCACCAGCGUGUGGUCCCAAGGCAGAAGAAUGCAUAUGAACAAUAGAAGAAAAAUUGAUUUAUGAACAUUAAAUACUGAUUUGUCUCACAAGCCAAGGACACAAUUUCCAUACUGAACAUGUACAUUUGAAGCAAGUGCUUCACAAGAUAUUAAUAAAAUUAAAAUCCACGUCAAAAUAAUGUAAUAACAUGAGACAAUGUAAAAUGUAAACAUCUGAUACCAAUCAAUGUGACCACCAUCAACGCUCAAACAAAAGUUCAGGUGACCAGAAUCUCAUGUUAUCUCACGGACCUUGGGCUCUAACAGAGCACCAGAUUCCUACAAGACCUGCAAGAAUAUCCCAAUUUAGCAACAAUGCUUGACAGAUCCCCCCCUCUGCUGCUCCUGCUGCUCAGAGAAUGCCUGAAAACAUAAACUUUACAGCCCAAACUGUACUUUUUUUCCAUAGUGUGCUCCAGAAGAAUCCUGGUACAGCUAGAAGUUGGGCAGAUCUGUGUUUGAAAACCUGCUGUCAGAAACUACAAGUUGGAUUUGAGCUCUCUGGGUCUUUUCUUGUAGAGGGCUCCCUCUGCCCCUGUGCGUGAGCAGAGAGGUGGAAACCCUUCCCAAGCCUCUGUCCUUCUCCAGGGAACAGCUGUUAGCAAGCACCUGAGCUGGAUCCAGGCUUCAUGCAUUAGAUUCACCUUUUUUGUUUGUUUUGAAAACUGAAGGCUGCACCGAUACAUGGAAUUUAAAAAUUAAGCUUGUGUGGUAAUUUAUUUGGCAGAGAAGUGGGUUAUGCAAUCCCUAACGGCUCUUCCUUUGAUGACUAGGUAGAGACAUGAAUUAGCAGCCUGUCAUAUUUCUGGAGAAAUAACUCCUGAGUAGAUAAAAACCCAACCCAACUUCUGUUUCUGCCUUUUCUUCUGUGAUUUCAGGCAUUUUCAGUGUCGUUUCUAACACUACUGAAUAGCCGUUUGGAAUCCUGAUGUAAUUAACAGCAAUUCAAAGCCAAAACCAAACUUAGAUUAUCUUACUGAAGUUCCCUAGACAUAGCUAAACAUUUAGUUACCUCAGAGAGAAAUACCUGGAUUCUGUAAGCAAACUGCACUUGAGUAGGCCUGAGCCUUGCUUUCAUGCUUAACUGAAAGCACUUGUACACUCAACCACAAGCCAGGAACAUCUUCCAUAUCAAAAUAAAAUACCCAGGAAUUAUUAUUAUUAUUUUUUUUAAUAGAAAGGAUGAAAAAACAUUUACAUUAUCCCCUUAUAUUGAUCUUGGGCCCACAGGUCUUUCUCCUUAUUACACCAAAUGGUAACACCGGCUUUAAUGUAAUGGCACUUGUCCAGUGUCUGCAGUAACACUGGAACAAAAAAAAAUCCAUGUGCUGCCGCAGAGAAAAACAAGUACUUCAUAAAGUCUCUUUAAAGUUCUUGUAAGUUAUUUCAAAUCCAGCUGGCUCAAUAGCUAAAUAUUUCAUAUUCAUAAUAUUCCCAGACAUAUUGCCACACUAAAAAUAUAGCACAGAAAUGACAUCAAAACACCAAAAUGCCUAUUUUCAUACAGGCAUGCAAACAAAACCCCAGAAAUUCCUUAUUUAAAAAAUGGCAGCUGUGAGCUGGUGUGCCUGCACGUCUCCUCUCUGCGCUAGCUGUGGGGCUCAGGACCACCGUCCGUGACUUGCUGGAGCUCCCCUUGCUCCUGUAACGCCCCACUCGCCCCUCGCCAGUAACUCCUCAGUGGGAAGGCAGAGCCAAGGCCUGGCAGUGCGGCAGCUGGGCCUGUACAAGCAGGCGCUUCCUGCGUGCACAUCAGACGGGCAGCCGCUGUCUGCUGUGCUGGAGCCUCGGAUGUUGCUGUUUACAGAGCAUGGAGCCAGGCCGUGGCCGAGGCUGGAGGCGCGCUGUCUGCUUCCGCGCGACGCUUGCCUUUGUCUGGGGCUGCUGCGGAGAAGGCAAAGCUGUGCUGCUGCUUGCCCAGCCUGCUCCUGCUCUGCUUGAGGAAAGGUAAUGCAGAGCUACUGUCCUGUUAAUAAGGCUGGACAACUCUGAUGUUAAAAAAAAAAAAAAAUCAGGAUUUUUUUCCCCUCUGUCAGACUUAGCUAUACACAAUAAAAAAAUGAAGCGAUUUAUCAGACAUGACUAUAUGAUGUGCUUAUUCCAAAAUUCUUACCUGAACUGUGCAACAAAAUCUUGAUUAGAGCACAAUUUUAGGCAACUAAUCUAUUCACAUUAAAAAAAUAAUUAUACAAAAAUGAGAUGGUGAGAAUGAGUUUCUGAUAAAACCUUUCAUUACACUUGUGGUUUCUACCCUGGUAUUUCAGACUUCACGUCCCAAAUCAGAUUAAUGCUGUAAUCCUCAACUGUAAUCCUUAAGUUUAGCAAAUAUUUUAGUACUUAAAUUUUGCUCUUCUGACUUACCCAAUAACAUUUUUUUUCUGCACUUUCAGUACAACUCAGUAUUUCAUUCUUGUAUGUACAUGGUUUUGCAAUUUUAGAUUUGAAAGUAGGUUCUACAAAGCUGCGAGUUAAACCUGUCUGACAUUUUAGUAACAUUCAUGGUUACUAAAGACUGUGUUUGCCUGGCUAAUGCCAAUUCAAACAACACAUUGUAUUCCAAAAGGUAUGCAUCUGCUCCAGCUUCUCCUAUCAUUACUUAAAAGGACAAAGUCUAACAUGAAAACACAUGCCUCAUUUUCCCCUUAAUAGUCACUCAUACACCCCUGUUUUUCCCAGUUAUCUUCUCUACAUGGCCAUAUAAUUUCUAACUUUUACCAGAUUCCUUUUUAAAGGCUUUAAGAAGUUUUUUUUCUUAAUAUUAAGAUGAUAACUCUAACUGUUCCUCUCCCCUAAUGUCAUUGGGGAAACAUGGUGUAAGAUGAAAACGUUAGAAGGAACUGAAAGAUGAAGCAGAAAGACAGAAGACGGGGCCUGCCAAAAAUGCCCCUCCUUUCUUGUUCCAGUGUCCCCAAGAAAUGCAGCGAAUGGUAUCUUCCCUUCCUUUACUUGAGACCUAGGCACUCAUGCUCAGUCAGCAUCAGCGUAUCUUAGUCCCUCUCUCACACUCCCAUUCCCUGUUCCGCUCCCAUCCAGCUACCAUCACCUCAGAAGUCACUCGCUCCCCCUUGGCCACCAUCACCUGUGAGCAGAGGAGGCCAGCAGAGCAGCUGAACCUCUCCUGGCUCCUGCUAAAAGACAUCUCCUCCCCAGCUGAGAAACUUUUGUAAGGGUUAUUUUCCUCCAUCCUUACACCCUUGCUUAAAAUGGAGAUUCAGCCAGCUUCUGGGCAGGAAGAACCUCCUUCUCAGAUACUUCACAGAUAUGAGAUGUAGCUAUUUGGGGACAUCCUUAAGUAGAAGGAAAUUAAAAGAAGAACAGCAAAGGAUGAGGAAACACAGCAAGCACAACAAAGUAUGUCAGAAGGAGAAAGAAGCAUAUCCAACACUCCGCAGGGCAGAAGCUGAAAUGGUUGGAAAGAUGUGGUGAGGAGAAAGGCUUUCACCUCAGAGGACUCCAGCAAGAUCAAUAGCUUCCACUGCUUAAGUGCCAGCUCGAGCAUCAUCCCUUGCCUCCUACUCCCAGGUGCUUGUUCCACCCCAGCAGUGCCCUGAGAGCCGCACGGCACAACUGCGGUUAUGCUGAGCAGUGAACUGGGUGAGAAAGGCAACAGGGAGACCACGGCAGGGAAAGAGGAAGAUCUGGAUAACAACAUCCCUGCCAAAACAAAUACACAUCAAUCAAGUAUGAAGGCUGGUAUCAAAGCUAUCAAUUUGUGUUACACCAUGGGUAUAUGAGAAAUACAGCUGACUUCACUUGUAUAACAUGUUCUGUCUGCCCUACAGUAACAAACUUGUUUCAAACCAGGAAUAAAUAUUUCAACACAAAUUCAAAUAGGUAAUGUGCAGACAUUUCAUAAUCCUAUGGAACCAAUUUGUUAACAGUGUUGGAAUCUGGGUGAUUUCUAGAUUAGCUUCAGAGAUUGAAUAAAAUACUUUUGCAUACUGACCUAUAGUUUCUGUAACUCUUAUAUUUUAAGCAUUUUCAAUUUAAUUAAAAGAAUUCUUAAAUCAGUCCCUAAAGUAGUUACAGCUCUGAAUAUUGAUUUUAACUGUGUUAAUGACAUCAUACAAUUAAACUGUAAGGCUGAGGUUGGUAUCUUCACAAGAUAGAUUUACACAAAUGCCUGCUUAAAAAAAAAAAAAAAAAGAAAGAAAGAAGAAUGGUAAAGACAACCUCUUUAAAAUUGAAUACAAAGCAGGCUUCUGUCAAUCUGAUUUACUCAAAUCCUGUAUGUACCAUGAAAUCCUGUUAAAUGAAUGGCAAAAAAACUCAAUUCCCACUAAAUGAAUAGAAACCUUUUUUGUCAAACAACGAAAAAAUUAAACUUGAGACUGACUCCUUCCUGACAGGUGUUCCUGCUUUAACACAUCACAAAAUACAAGCAGUCAUAGCCAAGGUUUUUGUAUGACUCAUCUGGUUCCCAACUGAACACCAUCAAAGCAUUUUUAGAUUUCAGCAUAGCUGCUAUGAAACUUGCCUAUUUUUAAUACAGAUUUAUUUGGUUGCCCAAGAUUAAGACACUCCCCAAUCACUUGUCUUCUAAUUUUUUCCCCACCUUCAUUUAAAAAAAAUGAAUCUUUUUUCAUGCUAGUCUUAAAAAAAACCACAACAGAUUUAGGAAAAAACAGUUCUAGAAGUUCUAUAAAUUCCAUUAAUGAGUGUCUACUGCCAAUUGAAAGGAAAGACUUCAAUAAAUUUUAUAAUUUCUGCCUGCACUAUAGAUUUUUGUUUGCUUGCUUUUUGCUUUUUUGUUUUCUUUGCUUAUCCCUUCUAACAAUUUGCUGGUAAACACAUCAGUUAAGCCAUUGGCCUGGUACAAUCCCAUUAUUUUUUUAAAUGUG